CGUCGAGUGGCGGACGGGUGAGUAAUACAUAGGAAUCUACCCAGUAGCGGGGGACAACUUGGGGAAACUCAAGCUAAUACCGCAUACGCCCUACGGGGGAAAGCGGGGGACCUUCGGGCCUCGCACUAUUGGAUGUGCCUAUGUCAGAUUAGCUUGUUGGUAGAGUAACGGCCUACCUAGGCGACGAUCCGUAGCUGGUCUGAGAGGACGAUCAGCCACACCGGGACUGAGACACGGCCCAG
rnacentral:rRNA from 1 species